ACGCUCGACACCUACGGGAGGCAGCAGUGGGGAAUAUUGCACAAUGGGGGAAACCCUGAUGCAGCGACGCCGCGUGAGUGAAGAAGUAUUUCGGUAUGUAAAGCUCUAUCAGCAGGGAAGAAAAUGACGGUACCUGAGUAAGAAGCCCCGGCUAACUACGUGUCAGCAGCCGCGGUAAUCUGAGCGGGCUGGCAAGGC
rnacentral:rRNA from 1 species